rnacentral:other from 1 species
AAUACCCUGCCUGGUUCGACCGUGGCGAAGCUUCUCUGACCCGGUAAGAUCGACUGAAAGGGAGCUCAGCGUCCGAGCGCGUACCGAUCCUUUUAGGAUAAGGAAAACGUUCGGCAGGGCACCCACCUCGAAAUUCGGGGCGUCAGAGCAAUGCCAACAUCGGCUCAUGGCGGGGUAUUU